ACUUCCUGUUUCUGCUUGAUUUUGAAAAUACCUCCUGCUCGCCUAUCACAGGUAAUCUCUGUGUUCUUGUGUAGCCGUGGUUUACAGGUAGCAAGUGCAGGCAGCAACCAGUCCCUCCUCACUGGGAUGUGGAGAUCUAUCUGGAGUCACAAUUAAAGGCUACCGAAUGCAUUCCACUACAGGUGACGAAACCCAGCUCCCAGAAUAACAAGCAGGACAACUUUUAAAGUGACUGUUGUUGACCAGUGUCUUCUGUGCAUUUGCGUGGUAAGCUCAUGGUGGAUUUUUCUAAAGGACGGUAUAGAUUUUUCUGAAUUACUCUCGGGAAGGACGGACUCUUCCUGAGGUUGAGACAGAUGCCAUAGCAUACAACAGGGUGGCUGUGUGCGUUCCUCCAGUUGGUGUGACUCUGCCAAGACUCUGUGAGGCUGUCCUGAUUGACAGGGAGAAAAUGCUGAAACUAGUUCUGUCACUGCUGGGACUUCGGAUGUGGCCGAAAUUUGGUCAUCCUGAACAUUCAAAAAUCCCAAGCAUAAACCAUCUGAUUCAUCAAUGCUAGAUUGUGUACCUACCCCUUGCUGCCCAUGGGAGAAGCAACUUCUGGUUCCAGCUUUUGUAGUGGGAGAGAGGCCUGAUUCCUACCAACACUUGCAAAAUGAGGGUUUCUCAGAAAAAGGAAGGGAGUCGGACGUGGAUCACCAAAACAACAACAAAUAUUGACCACAGCACCGAACUGAUCCGUCCAACCCUAGUGUUGCCCUUUUACUUACUUCCUGUUCCCUCAACAAAUGCUGUUUCCUUUGUUGGGAUCACUCUCUUGCCGCUCCUCAGGGGGGUCUUGUGGCCACCUGGACCCCUUUUGGAGUAGAUGCUCUUUCAGAGAGUUCCCCCAACCCCCUCUACUCCCCUCAGUCGCACCACGUUUCAUUUGUUAUGGUUAUUAGUUUUCUUUACCUUUGCCUCUAUUUCAUCAUGAGCUUUUUGACAGCAAGAUUUGUAUUAUUUUUUUCUGAAUCUCUGGUGCUUGACCUAGGGCCUCUCAUAUAGGAGGGCCUAAUAAAGCAUUAGCAAAUUAAUUUAUUUAUUUAAAAGAUCAUAUGAUCUGAUGAAACUUUUAGAAUAGUAAGUAAUCUAACCUCACUUUAUAGGAAUAGUGCCUUUCAAACCUAGAGGACAAGCCCAUUUAGAGUGUCCCCACUAUAAUAUAGUCAAUGGCAGAGAGAAAGCAAGCAUGCGCCUUUGAUCUCUGGGCUCAGGGGCCAGAGUGGCUUGCUGGCAUCUCCAAUUGCCUUGAAGACUGAAGAAACAAUUGUGAAACCAAAAUGCAUUUAGCUCUUCCAUGUGCCAGACAUGGUGCUAAGGAUCUGAUUGUGUAUAUUAUCUCAUUUAAUACAUAAUAACCCUUUGUGUUAAUUAUACAUAACAAUUAAGAAAACUGAGCUUCAGCCCUAACCGGUUUGGCUCAGUGGAUGGAGCGUCGGCCUGCGGACUGAAGGGUCCCAGGUUCGAUUCUGGUCAAGGGCACAGAAAUCCCAGGCAUAAACCAUCUGAUUCAUCAAUGCUAGAUUGUGUACCUACCCAUUGUGUGCCUUGGUUGCGGGCACAUCCCCAGUAGGGGGUGUGCAGGAGGCAGCUGAUCGAUGUUUCUCUCUCAUCGAUGUUUCUAACUCUCUAUCCCUCUCCCUUCCUCUCUGUAAAAAAAAAAAAAUCAAUAAAAUAUAUUAAAAAAAAGAAAAAGAAAACUGAGGUUCAGAGAGGUUAAAAACAGGCCCUAAAACUACAAAGCUGUGAACGUGGAAUCAGGAAUAGAACAAAGGCUGACUGAACAUAAAGCCUGAGCUGCUCCUGUGAUGUCCAGAAGCUGCCCUCCCCUCCUCGGGUAGCUUGGCACUCAGGAGGAUGCUCUCUGUGGCCCAGUUUGAGAAGCCAGGAGUAGAGAGACCAGGUGUCGGAGGGGAAAGAGAAUAGCCCGACCCUGCCUCUUUCUCUACUGCUCAGGGCACAGACAGGGAGCCUGGAGUGCACCCUUCAGACCAAGGAGCCCAGCAGGCCUGGCUAGGAGGUGCCUGGAGCCCGCUGCAGAGAGGGACCGGAGCACCUGUGGGACCAGAGGGGCCUCACUUCCUGGGGCAGUGGCCAGCUUGAGACAGACAGUGUAGACUUCCCUGGUCACUGGUGUGAAACAAGGUUCAAUUAAUGUGUGUGUUACUUUAUCACAACUGGGUGACUUUGCAGCAUCCACGGACUUUCAAGCUUCUUUAAAAUCUGGAAGGUGUAUACGUCUACGAGUGCAUGAUUCUCAGCACGGUUGUGUUCCACUCAGUUGAUUCAUCCUAUCUCCUAAUAAUACAGUAAUUGGCGGGGACUGUGAACAGGCAUUUGCACUCUCAAUUGUAGCCCCACUCAGUUUCACCAUCUUUUAACAGGCUGCUCUGUUCUCAGUGCUUCUGCAGAAGUUUCUCUGGGCUCCAGGUUACCUUGAGUCCGUCUCACCAGAGUCUGCCGUAACUGGGUCCCCAAUUCCCUCGUGGGCUUUCCGGAAGCCCAUUUUAAUCAAUCAGCUUGCCAUUCAAAUGACUAAGGUCAAUCAAGUGCCAGGAUAGAGGUGUGCCUGAAGGUUACCCCCCAAGCCCAUUGUGCCAACAGGCUGGCUUGCAGAACCUUCCAGGGACCUCAUGCUCAGCAUCCCCCAACCUGCUAGGGCUUAUGGCUCUUCAGGGGGCACAGAAGGUAGAGACUCCCACUAGAAAAAGUGGGACCAACACCAGGCAGGAUAUCAUAGAGAAUUUCAGUCGUUCCAUGAUGGUGACUUAUGAAUAUCCUCUUCAGUCAUCAAACACUACAGUGGUUUUGUAGAAGCUGCCAUACCAUGUGGUGUCCUCACUGUUUUAACCUCACAUGGGGUGGCAGCUUCUAUAAUAGCACCACUGCUAAGCAUCACUGUACCAGUCUCCUCCCCUUCCCCAGCCCUUGCGUUGCAAAGGGAAUGGAGAGGACAGCAGGUGACGCGGUGGUUCGGCUCCGAGGAAAUGCAUGGCACUUGGUGCUGCUGACCUUGAUGUCAUGUAUACUAUAAAGGGUGCAGCCUAGCUCGAGACACUGGACUCCGGUGUGAUUAUGUUUCCUUUUAUGUGGUCAUUAGGCUUGGAGUGAGGUGUUCCGACAGGGGCUAAAAGUGGACAAUCCAGUUAGAGAUGUGUGCCCUGCUGUCUCCUCAACAGUGUGUGUCAGGAGGAACCUGGUAUUGCCUGACACCCCAGCUCUGUAAGCUUAUGUAUAUUUGGGCCUUCUCUUCCUCACUUCUGAAGUUUUCAUCAGAUUGAAUAUGCAUCACACCUUUCUUGUCACCUAAUCAGGAUGCCAGGAAACAGUCAGGGAUAAUGUGGAUGAUUAAAUUCCCUGCUCCUGGCUGUUUACCAGGAAGUAGCCAAAAAAUGGGCGGGCGGGUGAAAGAGAAAGCAGUAGGGCCAGAAAACCUCAGGACCCAGUUCAUUUCAGAAUAAUGCGGGGUCGCUGGGUUUGCUACAACCAUCCGUCAACAUUUCCAUCUGUGUGAAAAAGAUGGUAACCGCUUCAGAAACAGUGAGGUCGGCAUGGUGUACACCUCUCUUCAUAUAGUGGAGUGUGCCUAAAACAUAGCAUUGACUGACUUAUUUUUAAAAAAAAUCAAAUCAGUAUGUGUAUCUGUCAUAUUUAAGGAAGAUCUGCAGUGAGAAGACUUUUAUAAUUAAAAUGACUCUCUAACAACACAAGUGGAAUCACCAUGUAUAGAGUUCAGAGCAAUGUUAGCAAGGUCCCUUGUCUAACCUCUUCACUUUAGAGCAGUGGUUCUCAACCUUCCUAAUGCCUCGACCCUUUAAUACAGUUCCUCAUGCUGUGGUGACCCCCAAUUUCAUUGUUACAAAUUGAACAUAA